GAGCAGUGGUGCGAUCCCCAUUUCAACCCUGGGGUACCCCCUCUCCCAGACCUUGUAGUCCAAAGCGGUGGGAGGAGUUCCCUUCAACCCUCAGGGCAGAGAAGUAAGUGCUGCGCGUCCGAAGCCGCAGCCAGAGGGCCUCACCCGAGACGAGGUCUUUGAACGCCCCUAGCCCGUGCCCACGCCCGGGAGCCCAGGCGCCCCAGGGCCAACCCUGGGAAACCCGCACACUGCUGCGCUCACGGGGUGCCCUACGCUCCCCACUUGUCCUUCCACUAAGUGACGUUCUCCGCGGGAGCUCUGCAGUUACCCAGGCGGACGCGCCCGCUCUGCUGGCCUCAGCGCCCUGAGCUGGGCAGAGGGGGAGACAGUCUGGCCGGGAAGAAGGUCCAACCUCCGCCCGCCCCAGCAGCACUGAGACCUGUGGAAGAAGAUGUGGUCUGAAUCACCGAUUGGCAGAGCUGGAAAUUAAACUCCUCGUUCUACAGAAAAGGAAACUGAGGCCCAGGCAGAGGGAGGAAAGGCAGCUGUGGAGUGCAGUGGUUAAGAGCAAGAGAUUGGUGGCCAGAGAAAGGAAUCUCAGCUCCACCAGGUAACCAGCAGCUGUGCAACGAUAGACGAGCUCCGCAGCCGCUGUAACAAUAACGGUGCCUAUUCAAGUUGCAAGAACUAGAUAAGACGGGUAACAUGCCGGUGUCAUAACAAGGUUCGAGGGAGACACAUGUCACACAACCUCAUGAACACCCAGUCAUCACGCUCAGGAACACAAAAGGAUCUAUAACUGGCUUUUUAAACUCGAUACAGUAUGUCAAGAUCAUAAUGAAUAUGGAUUACCACUCUGGAGAAUUCAACUGAUGAAGAACAGGGGUUGGCAAUCUUCUCUUUGGUGUAUUUUUGGUAAAUUGCUGACCCUGAUGUAGAAGCUGUCGCUCUGACACAAUGAAGAGCUAAACGGAGAAGGAUCUGAUUCCCCACACUGGGCUCACGGGACUGAUGUUCUUCCAAUAGUCAAAGCUCCAUCAGCCUGAAUCCCUGAGUAAGAAUCACACAGAGCAGAGGCCCUGCUGACCUGGGAUGAACGUGUAGCAUAAAUGGGAAAUAAACCUUUGUUUUUCUAAGCCACUGGAGGUUGUUUGUUGCUGCAGCAUAAGGAAGAAAGGGUGAAAGAGAAGCUUCCCAUGCCUGGUUUAUGAACGUGGCCUUGAAAAUGUCCACAGAGCUAUUGUUGUCUUGUUGAGUCUGCAGCCAGGAAGGCAGAAAUCACUGCAGCAAAGCAGGUGUGAACGUCCCCCUACUUCAGAGGCAGCUCUCUUUGAAGCUGGAAAAUCAAGGACGCUGGUACCUUCAAGGAAACAAGGAUAUAAUUAUCACAACACCCAAUUGGCCGGUGACCUUCCAUUCCUCAGGCCUGCCCUACUCCCUUCACUGGCACCAGCCCAGGUCCUCACAGACUGAGCUCUGUCCCAGAUCGCUCAGCCAGAGGAGCAGCCCACUCCCUCACCCUUUGAAAGUGUUCUUAAUCUCUUUCUACUGCGCUGCUCUUGCUGACAUAAAUCCGCCAGCCCAGGGGGCCUCUGAGCCCCCCACAGAGGGAGGCCCUUCAGGCCAAGCGGAGUCUGAGCAGCGAAGGCGUAGAAUUUAUGCUUCCUCUCACCUGUGCUGUCUGUCUGUGGCCUCUACUCCAGGCUGGUUUUGAAGGUUUGACCAGAACCUCCCAGCUCCUUGCCAAGUCUGCCAUCAUCACCUCAGUCACAGAAGCAGACUUCUCAAGGCCACUGGAAGCUAAUAACAGGGACUCUCAACUUCAUUAUUAUAUUUGAAAUGUUGAAAGCCAAAGCCUAAUAAAAUACGUUCAGAAAAACAAAAAGAGCUAU